rnacentral:rRNA from 1 species
GUCCUUGCUGUAAACGAUGUAUACUUGAUGUAAUUGGGCUCAACCCUAAUUGUGUCGUAGCUAACGCGAUAAGUAUACCGCCUGAGGAGUACGCUCGCAAGGGUGAAACUCAAAAGAAUUGACGGGGGCCCGCACAAGCAGUGGAGCAUGUGGUUUAAUUCGAUGCAACGCGAAGAACCUUACCCAGGUUUGACAUACAGAGGACGAUAGCAGAAAUGUUAUUUCCCGAAAGGGUCUUUGUACAGGUGCUGCAUGGCUGUCGU